rnacentral:rRNA from 1 species
GCACUCGGCGCGUACUCCGUAUGACCGCGGCUGCUGGCUCCCGUAUGACCGCGGCUGCCGCCUACAGUAGAACUUUACUACCCGAAAGCCUUCUUCACUCACGCGGCGUGGCUCCAUCACGCUUGCGCCCAUUGUGGAAGAUUCCCUACUGCUGCCUCCCGUAGGUCAGGGUUCUGUGGA